rnacentral:misc_RNA from 1 species
AUUGCAACAUGUAACUUCCUGGGUUUUCACAAAAAAGGGAUGGUAACUUUCCAUUAGUGCACAGGUAUUUUUUUAGGCAUGUUAGUUUUCAUUUUAUGAAUUAAAAUUUGUCCACUUGAUAGAAAAUCUCCAAAUUGUCAGCAUUCCUCGUGUCAUUGACCCGCAUGGCUUCAAAAUAAAUAUGAAGAGAAUGGUUGCAAGUUUGCAACCACCAAACAAACUGCUAAAUGUUUACAAGUGGAAAACCAAAGAUCUAGUGGAUUAAAACUACAACCGGAUGGGUGAUUCAUUUAGCCUUAUGUUGAAGCAGCGGCUGCAACAACCAAAUUUGAGUGAAGAUUUUUACCGGAAGCAGCUCUCCCACGCCCAAUUCCUGUCCUUUGCCCUUUAAAUCCCCUCAUAGCCUCUUCCAUAUCACGGCCUGAUUCCGGUACUACAUGCUUUUGAAAUCCUGAUAGGUUCUUCUCAUCCUCCCCGCUCUGGUGUUGUAUCGUGAAGUCCAGCUAUCAGUUGAAUCGGUUGAGUUGGGUUCCCAUGUAGAGGUAGAAUAUUCCCCCCAAUGCUGUAGGCUGCCACCCACAAAACUGUUGCUGCCUGAGGAUUCUUGCUCAUCCAUAUCUUCUCCACUCGACUUGCCGCCCCUCCUUACUGUCACAUACUUGUGGAAGCUUGGCUCCAUUAUAUCAUCACUUACUAGGACCUCUGAUUCCACAAAAGGGUCUUUGGCCUCUGUUAAUUUCUUCCCAACAAGAUUAGCACCCGUUGUGGUAGGGCUUCUUCUAUCCUCAACAAAUGCACAUGAAAGGUUGGAGCUUGUAGUGGAGUUGAGAUCAGCAACUGCUUCAAGAAUGGAGCAGGCCUUGGUGACACAUAGUGGAACUGAGAAUGAAGGGGGGGUCGUGGUGUUCUUUUGGUGAAAAUUCUGUAUGUCUUCAAGCAAUAGCGCAGUAUAUGAUGGGUUGGGAUUCAACAAAGUUUCAGGAUUGAAGGCUAGGUCUCGAGAUCUCCUGGCUGACCUACUUCUUGUUAGUGUUUGAGGCUUAAAAUCAGCUCCCGAGGCUACCAACGUGCUCAUUGGUAGCUGUACUUUAGCCUCUUCCGCAAUGACUGGUGCUUCUUUCACUUUGUUGCUGCUUCCUCUGCAAUUAGUCCCUUCAGCAACUGGCCUAUUAUUUGUCUCAGCAUUUGGCUUCUGCAUUUGAGCCUGAUUUACAACACUGAUAGAUUCCUUUACAGCCGCUUGUCCUUCAAUUUCUUUGUUUCUGGUUUGUACUCUGCUGCCGCUAUUGUUGUUGUUGACACAGACAGUUUUGUUGUUGCCAGUUGCUUGUGCAUACACAAGGGAAUUUGGAUCGAUUUCACUCAAUGGGUUUCUCCUGUAAGGAGAUUGAUCUGCUUUCCGUGAAGAAUUGCGACUAAGUGAUGGCUGCUGCUGAUUAUUCUCGUUAGAACCCUUAGCAUUUGUUCUCGCCGGGGACUGAGAACGGGGAGAUGCCGCACCCCUUGAACCAGCCAAGGCUGCGUCUCCAACAUUUCUCUUCACAGAGAUUCGUUUAAUGGCGUUAGCCGUUUGUGAUUCCUCGCCAUUGUUGCUUCUAUCCAUUGUCAGGGAAGAAACUGUAGCAGGAACUGAGACCAUUUUUCCAGGCCUAUUACCAGUAUUAGUUGUAUUAUUAGCAUUACUAGUACCAAUAGAAUUAGCAGUUGGGGUAGUUUCUGAUCUUCUACCCGGUGAUUGACUCACUCUUCUCCCACUACUACUGCUACCACUUCCUCUCUCUCGACUGCCAGAGCGCUGCUCUCUUUCCCUGCUGGGUGUCCUCCUCCUUCCUUGUGAAGAAGAAGAAGGAGAAGGCCUACGCGAAUGGCGGUGUCGUUGGCGAUGCUGCCUUCUCUCCGAGCCCGUCUCAUCAUCUUCAUCAUAAUUGCAAUUCGAGCCGCUGCCUCUCUUUUUGGCAUCAUAAUUAGCAGUAGGAGCAACCUCAAGAUCUUGGU